AUCAGUUCUUCCACUUGCCAUUAUAAGUUAUAACUUAUAACCCGUGAACAGUGGCGGAACAAAGAAAAUUGUGUCUGAACAGUGGCGGAGCAGAACAAGUGGACAGUGGCGGAGUAGAGCAGAUCGCACAGUGCGACUGUGCGACGGUCGUGGCGGAGGCAGUGCGACGCGAAUGGCGAAGGCGAAGGCGGAGGCACGAAUGGCGAAGGCAAAUGACGAAGGCACGAUCGACGGCGGCGGCGACGCGUAGCGUGGACGGCGGCGACGAAGACAGGUAGCGUGGACGACGGUGGCGACGACAGGUAGCGUGGACGGCGGCCAAACGGCGCGACAGAGGCACAGGUUCUUCAAAAAUUAGGGUUGCGUUUUGGGAUUAGGGUUUCUGAACUAAAAUUAGGGGUUUUAGGUUUUUUUAAAAAUUAGGGUUUUUUGGGCCGCGUCAUGGAUCGCAGAGGCCCAUGGAUCGCCGAUCCAACCCCUGGAUCGUCGGAUCGCUCCGAUCCGUUGAGAAAACGAGUCAGGCACCGAUCUAGCACGUUUUUAGCA
rnacentral:lncRNA from 1 species